GCGGACGUGGCGAAACCGGUAGCCGCGACGGACUUAAAAUCCGUUUCUUUCGGGAGUGCGGGUUCGAGUCCCGCCGUCCGCA
rnacentral:tRNA from 1 species